UUUAACCAUUUAUCGAUAGGUAUUUUGUGCGGUUAUUGGAACUUACCGGAAUUUAAUAAUUUCAAAAUUAACUACAUGUAACGUGCCGUUCCGGAACUUGUACGUAUUCUUACAUUUUACAUUACGUGUGUAAUGUAAAAAUGAGACUAUACUGCGGUAUAUUUCUGAGGGUUUGAAAGAGCUGCGUCAAAUCGAGGCACAAAAAAAGGGAUUAAUUUUAACUCUGAUGUCAAUAUGUUACCAUCCCUGUUGACGCUGUUGCAGUAGCGGACCCCAGCCUCCCGAUGUCACAUU
rnacentral:sRNA from 1 species